rnacentral:lncRNA from 1 species
GUUUAAUAAUUGUUUCCCAAUCUUUCCAGAUAGAGAUUUGAAGCACAAUAAAAUAAAAAAGUACAUUUGAAGUACAAAACAGUUCUUCCCAAAUGAAGAGUUAGCGGUAGCUGAGGCAGAGAUCAAAUGCAGAUUAGCCUGAUUGCAGAGCCCAGACUUACCAUAACCCGGUGUUUAGUCCUUUCCUCCACCCUGCGGCUAGGCAGUCUCUUCCAAGACUGCGUAGAAGCCCAGGCUUUCACACUAAUGUGGGAUUAGCAUUUUUCUUUGUAUUCAACCCCAGACUGGCUUUCAGCUUCGCUGAUUCUGACACCAUAUUUCCUAUAACUUAGGAAAUGCUAUGGAAUAUGGGAACCUUCAGAUGUGGACUUGAUUGAAAUGAAUGAAGUUUGUUUUCUUUUAUGUUCUAUUUCUCUCUCAGGCUUGCAUAUGCUAGUGGGUCCAGAUGGUUGGAAUCAUCAAUUGAAAACAAAGAGAACACUAAGAAAGCAGCAAGGGAGAGAGAUACCAAGUGGCAAUUAGGGAUGAGACAGCUAAAAUGGCUUCAUGAUGAAUCAAGGACUCCGUAAUACCCAAGGAUGCCCAUGAUGCUGUGCUGAACACAGGCUGGGUUUAGCAAUUUCUAACUUCCACAUUGAAAUCAUGGAGAAGUUGAAUUUAGGCGGUUCUUGUGGAAAAAAAAAUACAUACAUAUAUAUAAAUUUGGCCAUUUUAAAUAUAUUGGAUUUUUAAUUAAACAAAAGCUGUUGACAUCAUUACCCACCCCCGCCAAAAGAAAGAAAAAAAAUCCACCCACCCAAUCUGUUGUCCCUAAUUUUAAAAAGAUCUCAAAAGUUUCUUUCUACUGUACUUACAUGCAAAGGUGAAACCACAUCCAAUUAGAUUUGAGGGUAUCAUUUAUUCUGUGCAGAGCCAAGGACUACUGUGAAAAAAGGCAUCGAUACAGAAAGAAAAAAGAGCAGCAAUAACAAACUAAACAGGCCUGGGGGCAGUGGUAGAAAAAGUUGAGAAGCAACACAUUAAAAAAAAAUAGCUUCUAUGUUUCCUUUGCCUUCCUAUUCCCUGCCUCUCCAUGUGACAUUUUCCUGUGAAAAAUUUAAUACAAAAAAAAUUCAAUCAAUAAUCUUGGAAUCAAAAAGUCAACUGUGUGCCUUUCA